CAGUAGCCGCGGUAAUACGGAGGGUGCAAGCGUUAAUCGGAAUUACUGGGCGUAAAGCGCACGCAGGCGGUCUGACAAGUCAGAUGUGAAAUCCCCGGGCUUAACCUGGGAACUGCAUUUGAAACUGGCAGGCUAGAGUCUUGUAGAGGGGGGUAGAAUUCCAGGUGUAGCGGUGAAAUGCGUAGAGAUCUGGAGGAAUACCGGUGGCGAAGGCGGCCCCCUGGACAAAGACUGACGCUCAGGUGCGAAAGCGUGGGGAGCAAACAGGAUUAGAUACCCCUGUAGUCCCUGUCUCUUAUAC
rnacentral:rRNA from 1 species